AAAUACUGCUAUUUCGUCUUUUUGUCGACUUUCAAAAUCUUACGUGCACGUCGUCGAAAAAUAUUCUUAGUUUUUCGAUACGAGUCCAAUAAUGAAAGUUUUUAUUUUUGGACGACGAGUGAAUAGUGAACUAGAUUUUCUCGAUAAACGAACCGAGCUCGUUUAUCAGAAUUUCGAGAACGAGCUUGUGUUUUCUAUAUUUAUAUAGAAUUACGAGUGCAAUGAAAGUGAGUAGAGGUUGAGAGGGCGAGUAACGAAGAGUAUGGGUAGUUAAUCGUUAAAACGAGACGAAACGAGAUAUUUAACGACUAACGGGUUAAUAUCCUAAAUAUCUAACCUACCCUACCCCUAACCACCCCCCCAACUGCCCACUAUCCCUCUAUCUCACCUAACUCACGCUAUAUCAGCCCACACCACACACACAACUCACAUAUUCACACACACAACACCUAAAACACACACUACACACGCCAUUUUCCAUUUAAGCUUGGACGGAGCUUUUGACCUCCGAUUUGAGCACCGAGACGAGCGCCGAUCAUCUUUUCGAUCAUGUAUCUAAGUAGGUCCUUUUGGGAAGUAACGACUUGAGGGAGAGAGUGACGUUACUCAUUGAUACAGAGACACAACGAGGUUGAGCUGAUGUGAUGAUGGUGCUGCAAUGAGCGGAGUCUCCAGGGUUGUUAAUAAAUAGUUAACCUGUCUAGAAUAUGUCUUCAUACAUAUGUCUAGCUACUUUCCGCUGCAAGAUGUUGUUGAUGUUAUAGUAUGUUAUGUCAUACUUUGAGUCUUAAGAGAAUGGUUUCAUACGAUGUAUAACUUGAUUAAUGAUAUUAAUUAAGUUUUAUGCUGUCUUUCA